GGAGUUUGGUCCGUGUCUCAGUACCAAUGUGGGGGACCUUCCUCUCAGAACCCCUACUGAUCGUCGCCUUGGUAGGCCGUUACCCUGCCAACAAGCUAAUCAGACGUGAGCCCAUCCUUCAGCGGAUUUCUCCUUUGGUAUCCAGAAGAUGCCUCCCGGACACGUCAUGCGGUAUUAGCAGUCGUUUCCAACUGUUAUCCCCCUCUGAAGGGCAGGUUGCUCACGCAUUACUCACCCGUUCGCCACUCAGUCAAAGAAGAACUUUGACGAAUCUCCAUUCUUCAGUGCUUCGUUCGACUUGCAUGUGUUAAGCACGCCGCCAGCGUUCAUC
rnacentral:rRNA from 1 species